GGGGGGGGGUGUUCCUAAAAUUUGGGGAGAGGGGUUCUGGGGGGUCAUGCUGAGCCCCCGGGCAGUUUCCAGAACCUGGGCAUCCAGUGCGUGAAGAAGCGAGAGCUGGAGGCAGCCGUGGCCGAGCGCAUCCGCACCAACAACAACCCCUUCAACGUGCCGGCGGAGGAGCGCGGUGGCGAGUACGACCUGAGCGCGGUGCGGCUCUGCUUCCAGGUGUGGGUGCACGGCCCAGGGGGGCUGCACCCGCUGCCCCCCGUCCUCUCCCAGCCCAUCUACGAUAACCGUGAGUCCCACGCUGAAAACACACCAAAAACAUGUCAAAAUCAUGCAAAAACAUGCCUAAAAAUAUGCAAAACCACAAGAAAGCCCACCCAAAACAGGCCAAAAACAUGCCAAGACGCAUCAAAACAUGCCAAAACACACCAAAAAAGGCCAAAACAUGACAAAAUCAUGUUAGGUCAUGCCAAGAACAUACUAAAAUACAUGAAAAUUCUGCUAAGACACUAAAACAUGCCCAAAACAUGCUACCAAAAAAGAUGCUGUCAUGCCAAGGACAUACUAAUAAACACGGAAGUUUUGUUGAGAUGCUAAAAUAUGUCAAAAACGCACCAAAAACAUGCCCCAAAUGUGCUAAAA